GACGAACGCUGGCGGCGUGCCUAAUACAUGCAAGUCGAGCGGGGAUUAUGCUUGAUCGCUUCGGUGAGACGGCAUAUAUCCUAGCGGCGGACGGGUGAGUAACGCGUGGGUAAUCUACCUCGUAGUUCGGGAUAACAGGCCGAAAGGCUUGCUAAUACCGGAUGAGUUCAUGCUUAUGCAUAUAGGCAUGAAGAAAGGGCUAGCCCGCUAUGAGAUGAGCCCGCGUCCCAUUAGCUUGUUGGUGGGGUAAUGGCCUACCAAGGCAACGAUGGGUAGCCGGCCUGAGAGGGUGUACGGCCACACUGGGACUGAGACACGGCCCAGACUCCUACGGGGGGCAGCAGUAGGGAAUUUUCGGCAAUGGGCGAAAGCCUGACCGAGCGACGCCGCGUGAGGGACGAAGGCCUUCGGUUGUAAACUCUGUCUGGGGGAGUGAGAACGGACGGUACCCCGGACGGAAGCCCGGCUAACUACGUG
rnacentral:rRNA from 1 species